rfam:Homo sapiens chromosome 4, GRCh38 reference primary assembly.
CUCAAGGCCUUCCUCAAGGCCACACCAUCAUCUCUGUUGAGUUGAUU